rnacentral:rRNA from 1 species
AACCUCCGCAAUGUGAGAAAUCGCGACGGGGGGAUCCCAAGUGCCAUUCUUAACGGGAUGGCUUUUCAUUAGUGUAAAGAGCUUUUGGAAUAAGAGCUGGGCAAGACCGGUGCCAGCCGCCGCGGUAACACCGGCAGCUCUAGUGGUAACAAUUUUUAUUGGGCCUAAAGCGUCCGUAGCCGGUUUAAUAAGUCUCUGGUGAAAUCCUGUAGCUUAACUGUGGGAAUUGCUGGAGAUACUAUUAGACUUGAGACCGGGAGAGGUUAGAGGUACUCCCAGGGUAGAGGUGAAAUUCUGUAAUCCUGGGAGGACCGCCUGUUGCGAAGGCGUCUAACUGGAACGGUUCUGACGGUGAGGGACGAAAGUCAGGGGCGCGAACCGGAUUAGAUACCCGGGUAGUCCUAACUGUAAACGAUGCGGACUUGGUGUUGGGGUGGCUUUGAGCUGCUCCAGUGCCGAAGGGAAGCUGUUAAGUCCGCCGCCUGGGAAGUACGGUCGCAAGACUGAAACUUAAAGGAAUU